AUUGAACGCUGGCGGCAGGCCUAACACAUGCAAGUCGCACGAGUGGCGGACGGGUGAGUAAUGUCUGGGAAACUGCCUGAUGGAGGGGGAUAACUACUGGAAACGGUAGCUAAUACCGCAUACCAUCGGAUGUGCCCAGAUGGGAUUAGCUAGUAGGUGGGGUAAAGGCUCACCUAGGCGACGAUCCCUAGCUGGUCUGAGAGGAUGACCAGCCACACUGGAACUGAGAAAGGGGCAAGAAUGGUACGGGAGGCAGCAGGGGGGAAUAGUGCACAAGGGGCGCAAGCCGGAUGCAGCAAUGCCGCGUGUAUGAAGAAGGCCGUAGGGGUGUAAAGUACUUUCAGAGGGGAGGCGUUACCCGCAGAAGAAGCACGGCUAACUACGUGCCAGCAGCCGCGGUAAUUC
rnacentral:rRNA from 1 species